GUGCUGUGCGGUUCCGGCAUUUAUUUUAUUCAUAAAUCCAUUAAGCUAAACUGCACUAUCACGGUGCUUCACAUUUACGAUUAGAUCUUGCUGCAAACUGGCAGAAUGGAGCUGCAACUUUUACUGCAUCUGAUUAUUUUCGUGUGCCUCUCCGGUCCUUCCGAGGAGUUUCAUCGAGUGGACACUACUUUUGAAGAGGUGUCGAAUCGAAUAGUUUCUGGUGAAAAUAGGACGUUUUGUGAUGAAGUUAAUUCGAAAAGUGUUUUUGGACAAGAAUCAUCCGGUUGUAUGAGCAAAAAUCAGGAUGGAGAAAAUAACCCAAAAAGCAUUCGGAACAAGGAAAGAGAAGGUUCUGACGAUCGUAGGUGUGGAUGUUCAGAUUCACCAUCAACGAUGAAAAGGAAAGUGCAAUGUUUUCUUUGUCGGGUGCAGCAGUCUGUGAGGUUCAAUUUGAGACUAAUGGAAUGAAAGAGUUCGGCUCAUAUCGCAGCGCAUUCUUAAGGAUUGAAGUAUAAUAAAAAUCAGUGCAAACAGAAAUACAUAAUUGUGAAUAAAAAUGAAGAAGACUUGCAUUUCUAAGUCACAAUCAAGAA